GCAAAAAAUCUAGCCCAUUCACCAUUCAAUAAACCAAAUUAACUAAAUCUAUUAAUUAAAACAUUUUAACUUCUUAGUAAAGGCGAUAGAAAAAUUAUUAGGAGCUAUAAAAAUAGUACCGCAAGGGAAGGAUGAAAUAAAAAUGAAAUAAAUUUUAAGCACAAAAAAGCAGAGACUAAUUCUCGUACCUUUUGCAUCAUGGUUUAACUAGUUAAAUCAAGCAAAAUGAUCUAUAGUUUGACCCCCCGAAACUAAGCGAGCUACUUCAGGGCAGCUUUAUGAGCAAACCCAUCUCUGUCGCAAAAGAGCGGGAAGACCCCCAAGUAGCGGUGACAUACCUAACGAGCCUAGUGAUAGCUGGUUACUCAAGAAAAGAAUUUUAGUCCAACCUAAAGAAUCCCAAAUAAUUUUAAAUAGCCCAUUCUUUAGAGCAAUUCAAAUAAGGUACAGCCUAUUUGAAACAGGAUACAACCUACACCGCAGGGUAAUAUUUUUUUAUGGCAAUUAAGUAGGCCUAAAAGCAGCCAUCUUUAAAAUAGCGUCAAAGCUUUAUUGUUCUAAUUCCAAAUACCGCACUUAACCUAGAACCCUCCACUCCUACUGAGUACUUUUAUACUCUUAUAAAAUUUUUUAUGUUAAAACUAGUAACAAGAAGAAGACCUCCUCUUAAUGCAAAUGUAAAUCAUAAAGGACACACCAAUGACUAUUAACAUACAUGAAAACAAACUAGCAACCCCCACAAGAAAAACCUAUUCCUUAUUAUGUUAACCUGACACAAGAGCAUUUCAAGAAAGAUUAAAAGAAAAAGAAGGAACUCGGCAAACAUUAACCUCGCCUGUUUACCAAAAACAUCGCCUCUUGAUUAAAUAUAAGAGGUCCAGCCUGCCCAGUGACCCUGUUUAACGGCCGCGGUAUCCUAACCGUGCGAAGGUAGCGUAAUCACUUGCCCUUUAAAUAAGGACUAGUAUGAACGGCAUCACGAAGGUUAUUCUGUCUCCUUUUUCUAAUCAGUGAACCUGAUCUCCCCGUGAAGAAGCGGGGAUGAAAAUAUAAGACGAGAAGACCCUAUGGAGCUUUAAACUAAGUAGCAACUGCUUACUCUUCCCACAUUCCAGAACUUUAAAAUCUUUUAGCUUCGUGUUUACUAGUUUUAGGUCGGGGCGACCACGGAGUAAAAAACAACCUCCACAUUGAACGGAACCCACAUUCCUGAGCCUUGGGCAACAACCCUAAGCACCGAUAAAUUGACAUUAAUUGACCCAAUAAUUGAUCAACGAACCAAGUUACCCUAGGGAUAACAGCGCAAUCCGCUUUCAGAGCUCCUAUCGACAAGCGGGUUUACGACCUCGAUGUUGGAUCAGGGUAUCCUAGUGGUGCAGCCGCUACUAAUGGUUCGUUUGUUCAACGAUUAAAACCCU
rnacentral:rRNA from 1 species